CCCUUAGAUGUUCUGGGCCGCACGCGCGCUACACUGAUGCAUUCAACGAGCCUAUCCUUGACCGACAGGUCCGGGUAAUCUUUGAAUCUGCAUCGUGACGGGGAUAGAUUAUUGCAAUUAUUAAUCUUCAACGAGGAAUUCCUAGUAGACGUAGUUCAUCAGACUGCAUCGAUUACGUCCCUGCCCUUUGUACACACCGCCCGUCGCUCCUACCGAUUGAAUGCUCAGGUGAGCCAUUCGGACUUUCAUCAUGCUGGUUUCCAGUUUUGAUGAAGGAAAGUCUUGCGAACCUUAUCAUUUAGAGGAAGGAGAAGUCGUAACA
rnacentral:rRNA from 1 species